CAUUUUUCAAAGUUAUAUAUAAAUAGUUUGUUAGUAUAACAUUUGUGCAUCAUAUCCUAGAAGAGGGAAAUAUAGAUAGAUUUUAUCAAGCUCAGGACGGAGAAAUGGGCUCUGAAAACGGCGGCGUUCCACCUCUCCAUGUUUUCAUGGUCUCCUUCCCCGGGCAAGGCCACGUCAACCCUCUCCUCCGCCUCGGCAAGCGUCUCGCCGGAAAGGGCCUACUCGUCACCUUCUCGGCACCGGAAAGCACGGGCGUGGAGAUGAGAAAAGCCAACGCGAAAAUCAGCGAAGAACCCACUCCCUACGGCGACGGGUUCAUCAGGUUCGAGUUCUUCGACGACGAGUUCGACCCGCAUGGCCCGCACGCCAACGACAUGGACUUCCAGCUCGACCAAAUGGAGCGAGUCGGGGCCGUGAAGCUGUCGGGGAUCCUCGACAAACACGAAAAACAGGGGCGCCCUGUUUCUUGUCUCAUCAACAAUCCGUUUAUUCCCUGGGUCUCCGACGUCGCCGAGAAACAUGGAAUUCCCAGUGCGGUACUUUGGGUGCAGUCUUGUGCGAGCUUUUCUGCUUAUUAUCAUUACCAUAAUAAGUUGGUUCCUUUUCCGACUGAAACAGAGCCUUUUCUCGACGUUCAGUUGCCGUGCAUGCCGGUUUUGAAAUACGACGAGUUCCCGAGCUACUUAUACCCUUCUUCGCCGUAUAAAUUCCUGGCCCGGGCCAUUCUUAACCAGUUCGAGAACUUGUCCAAACCGUUUUGCGUAUUGAUGGAGACAUUUCAAGAACUGGAACCCGAAGUUCUUGAAUAUAUGUCCAAACUCUGCCCAAUCAAGCCCGUUGGUCCUCUUUUUUUAACCCCCAAGUCCGCCGCCGUAACCUCCGAUGUUCGCGGAGACUUUGUGAAAGUCGAUGAUUGUAUCGAGUGGCUCGACUCCAAGCCGGAAUCUUCUGUGGUUUACAUUUCCUUCGGGAGCGUUGUAGCCUUGAAGCAAGAGCAGGUGGAUGAGAUCGCCUACGGGCUGAUAAACUCCGGGCUGUGUUUCUUAUGGGUGAGGAAACGGUCACCGCUGGAGUCCGUGCCGACGGUUUUGCCGGACGGGUUCCUGGAAAGAGUUGGGGAUAACGGGAAAGUGGUGCAAUGGUGCUCGCAAGAACAGGUUUUGGCGCAUCCAUCCCUGGCCUGCUUCGUGACUCACUGUGGAUGGAAUUCGUCGAUGGAAGCCAUCUCCAGCGGCGUCCCCGUCGUGGCUUUCCCGCAGUGGGGGGAUCAGGUCACCGACGCUAAAUACCUCGUCGACGUUUUCAAGAUCGGCGUUCGGCUAUGCAGAGGCGAAGCUGAGAACAGGUUGAUCACCAGGGACGAGGUGGAGAAGUGCUUGAUCGAGGCAACCCGCGGCGAAAAGGCGGCGGAGAUGAAAGAAAAUGCGUUGAAGUGGAAGAAGAAGGCAGAGGGGGCGGUGGCGGAGGGCGGCUCUUCUGACCGGAAUUUGGAAGAAUUUGUCGACGAAAUCAGAAACAUAUGCGGUGGCGGAAAACACUAAGACCGGCGCCAUCUUUCUGUCCUCGUGCCUUGAUAUUUUCAUUGCUUAAUAUAUUAUUAUUUCUUUUAAAAAAAAAAAUC